UACGUAGGGUGCAAGCAUUAAUCGGAUUUAUUGGGCGUAAAGGGCGCGUAGGCUGGAUCGUAAGUCAGAUGUGAAAUCCCGGGGCUCAACCCCGGAACUGCCUUUGAUACUGCGAAUCUCGAGUCCGGAAGAGGUGAGUGGAAUUCCUAGUGUAGAGGUGAAAUUCGUAGAUAUUAGGAAGAACACCAGUGGCGAAGGCGGCUCACUGGUCCGGUACUGACGCUGAGGUGCGAAAGCGUGGGGAGCAAACAGG
rnacentral:rRNA from 1 species